UACAGAGACUGCGAGCGUUAUUCGGAUUCACUGGGCGUAAAGGGUGCGCAGGCGGUUCGUUGUGUCGGCGGUGAAAGCCCCGGGCUCAACCUGGGAAUGGCCGUUGAAACUGGCGAACUGGAGUGUGGCAGAGGGGGGUGGAAUUCCGCGUGUAGCAGUGAAAUGCGUAGAGAUGCGGAGGAACACCGAUGGCGAAGGCAGCCCCCUGGGCUAACACUGACGCUCAGGCACGAAAGCGUGGGGAGCAAACAGG
rnacentral:rRNA from 1 species